rnacentral:rRNA from 1 species
AUUGAACGCUGGCGGCAGGCCUAACACAUGCAAGUCGAGCGGCAGCGGGAAAGUAGCUUGCUACUUUUGCCGGCGAGCGGCGGACGGGUGAGUAAUGCCUGGGAAAUUGCCCAGUCGAGGGGGAUAACAGUUGGAAACGACUGCUAAUACCGCAUACGCCCUACGGGGGAAAGCAGGGGACCUUCGGGCCUUGCGCGAUUGGAUAUGCCCAGGUGGGAUUAGCUAGUUGGGGAGGUAAUGGCUCACCAAGGCGACGAUCCCUAGCUGGUCUGAGAGGAUGAUCAGCCACACUGGAACUGAGACACGGUCCAGACUCCUACGGGAGGCAGCAGUGGGGAAUAUUGCACAAUGGGGGAAACCCUGAUGCAGCCAUGCCGCGUGUGUGAAGAAGGCCUUCGGGUUGUAAAGCACUUUCAGCGAGGAGGAAAGGUUGAUGCCUAAUACGUGUCAACUGUGACGUUACUCGCAGAAGAAGCACCGGCUAACUCCGUGCCAGCAGCCGCCGUAAAAC